rnacentral:rRNA from 1 species
GUCGAGCGAACCAUUUAUGGUUAGCGGCGAACGAGUGAGUAACACGUUGGAACCUACCCCGAACUCAGGGAUAAGCACUGGAAACGGUGUCUAAUACCGGAUAGUCCCGAAAGGGUAAAGAUUUUUCGGUUCGGGAGGGUCCUGCGGCCUAUCAGCUUGUUGGUGAGGUAAUAGCUCACCAAGGCUACGACGGGUAGCUGGUCUGAGAGGAUGACCAGUCACGAUGAGACUGAGACACGGCUCAUACUCC